AAGCCGAUGAUGAUUUAGUUUAAUUGGAAUUACCGUCUGAUAUUUGAUGACAAAUUUGGCUGACUGAGGCUUACC
rnacentral:snoRNA from 1 species